CUGCGAAUGGCUCAUUAAAUCAGUUAUCGUCUAUUUGAUAGUACCUUACUACUUGGAUAACCGUGGUAAUUCUAGAGCUAAUACAUGCUGAAAACCCCGACUUCGGAAGGGAUGUAUUUAUUAGAUUAAAAACCAAUGCCCUUCGGGGCUCCCUGGUGAUUCAUGAUAACUUCUCGAAUCGCACGGCCUUGCGCCGGCGAUGGUUCAUUCAAAUUUCUGCCCUAUCAACUUUCGACGGCUGGGUCUUGGCCAGCCGUGGUGACAACGGGUAACGGAGGGUUAGGGCUCGACCCCGGAGAAGGAGCCUGAGAAACGGCUACUACAUCCAAGGAAGGCAGCAGGCGCGCAAAUUACCCAAUCCCGACACGGGGAGGUAGUGACAAUAAAUACUGAUACAGGGCUCUUUUGGGUCUUGUAAUUGGAAUGAGUACAAUUUAAUUCCCUUAACGAGGAACAAUUGGAGGGCAAGUCUGGUGCCAGCAGCCGCGGUAAUUCCAGCUCCAAUAGCGUAUAUUAAAGUUGUUGCAGUUAAAAAGCUCGUAGUUGAACCUUGGGCCUGGCUGGCCGGUCCGCCUCACCGCGUGCACUGGUCCGGCCGGGCCUUUCCCUCUGGGGAGCCGCAUGCCCUUCACUGGGCGUGCCGGGGAACCAGGACGUUUACUUUGAAAAAAUUAGAGUGUUCAAAGCAGGCUUAUGCUCGGAUACAUUAGCAUGGAAUAAUAGAAUAGGACGUGCGGUUCUAUUUUGUUGGUUUCUAGGACCGCCGUAAUGAUUAAUAGGGACAGUCGGGGGCAUCAGUAUUCAGUUGUCAGAGGUGAAAUUCUUGGAUUUACUGAAGACUAACUACUGCGAAAGCAUUUGCCAAGGAUGUUUUCAUUAAUCAGGAACGAAAGUUAGGGGAUCGAAGACGAUCAGAUACCGUCGUAGUCUUAACCAUAAACUAUGCCGACUAGGGAUCGGACGGUGUUAUUUUUUGACCCGUUCGGCACCUUACACGAAAGUACAAG
rnacentral:rRNA from 1 species